rnacentral:rRNA from 1 species
AGCAGCCGCGGUAAUUCCAGCUCCAAUAGCGUAUAUUAAAGUUGUUGCAGUUAAAAAGCUCGUAGUUGAAUUUCGGGGUUAGUAGGUUGGUCGUGCCUCAGGUAUGUACUGAUCUCACUGAUUCCUCCUUCCUGAUGAACCGUAAUGCCAUUAAUUUGGUGUUGCGGGGAAACUGGACUGUUACUUUGAAAAAAUUAGAGUGUUUAAAGCAGGCUAACGCUUGAAUACAUUAGCAUGGAAUAAUGAAAUAGGACGUUCGAUCCUAUUUUGUUGGUUUCUAGGAUUGACGUAAUGAUUAAUAGGGAUAGUUGGGGGCAUUAGUAUUCAAUUGUCAGAGGUGAAAUUCUUGGAUUUAUUGAAGACUAACUACUGCGAAAGCAUUUGCCAAGGAUGUUUUCAUUAAUCAAGAACGAAAGUUAGGGGAUCGAAGACGAUCAGAUACCGUCGUAGUCUUAACCNUAAACUAUGCCGACUAGGGAUCGGAUGAUGUUAAUUUUUAAUGACUCAUUCGGNGCCUUAC